rnacentral:piRNA from 1 species
AUCAGACAUAGUGUCGAGGGCCCUGG